rnacentral:rRNA from 1 species
GACGAACGCUGGCGGCGUGCUUAACACAUGCAAGUCGAACGGAAAGGCCCCUUUGGGGGUACUCGAGUGGCGAACGGGUGAGUAACACGUGAGUAACCUGCCCUUGACUUCGGGAUAACUUCAGGAAACUGGGGCUAAUACCGGAUAGGAAUCCUUGCUGCAUGGUGGGGGUUGGAAAGCUUCGGCGGUUUUGGAUGGACUCGCGGCUUAUCAGCUUGUUGGUGGGGUAGUGGCUUACCAAGGCUUUGACGGGUAGCCGGCCUGAGAGGGCGACCGGCCACAUUAGGACUGAGAUACGGCCCAGACUCCUACGGGAGGCAGCAGUGGGGAAUAUUGCACAAUGGGCGGAAGCCUGAUGCAGCAACGCCGCGUGCGGGAUGACGGCCUUCGGGUUGUAAACCGCUUUCAGCAGGGGCGAAGCUUGUGGUGACGGUACCUGCAGAAGAAGCACCGGCUAACUACGUG